CUCUCUCUCCUUGGGGUUUUUUUUUUCUCUCGCUCUCUCACGCUCUCUCGGAAAAAGACGGAGUCUCUCUCCCACGCUCUUGGCUCCCGCACGCUCUCUUUUUUUCUCUCGGAGGAUCCCUCUCUAAAAGGGAAAACGGCCGAACGGUCUCGGGGACUCUCUCUCUCUCUCUGAUCGGCUCAUCAACUGGUGCGUUCGAAACCCUUGAUUGGAUCUCUGGAUCCAAUCGCGAAUCGGCGAAGCCGCUCUGUUCGAUUCCCUGUCGUCGCAAAUCGCGCCGAACACCGUCGAAGAGCAGCGUCGCUGCCACCGCCGAUUGGAGGCUCUCGGAUCUCACCGCCUCGCGUGGCUCAGCCGGAUCGACGGACGCUCUCAAAGGGAUCUCUCUCUGGAUUCGUGAGGGUUCAGUUGUUCUUUCGGAGGCUCCUUCUCCGUCGAAGCUUGGGUCGAAGGUUUUCUUCCAUUAGCAGGCGAUCAGAGAUCGAGCGCCGGUGGUUGGGGAUCGCUAGGGAAAUCUGUUCUUUCUCUCUGUUCGAGUUCUCGCUCUCUCUGUUCGAGCGAUCCGGCUUCGGAAGCUUUGGAUCAGGUGUUCUCCGACUCUUUCCCAGAGAUUUGACGCUCGCUCGCUCCAUCAGGUUCGCCAUUCUCUCUCGAUCGCUCUAUCUCGCGCUCAGCCUGUCGCUCGCUUUCUCUCUGUUUUCCCCUAUCAAUUGCCUGCUAUUGAAGUUCAUUAGGUAAUCUGAGCUUGUAAAAUUGUUGUCGUGAUAAGUUUGGUUGCGCUUUCCUAUCUGGCUGUGGCAUUUUGGACUCGAGGCUGAGAUACCUACUUUCUACUCGAUGAAAUGCUUAAGCUAGAUCAGAGUUGAUUAUCGAGUGUCUCUUUCAACUGUUGAUUGGUAAAUGUAAUCAAUUCAUGUCUGAAACUAAACCAUUGAUGAAAUAAGUUUUUCCAUGGCCGAGGUUUUCUCUCAGAUUGACCACAAAUUUGAUCUCAUGUAUUGCUAAGCGUGUAUUUGUGCACCGAUAUGUCAGUGAGGGUAUAGAGGAGGAAGAGUUUCUCUGAGGCCCGUGAAAAUCUCGCUGCCCUUAAGAAAGAUUUUUGGGGAGGUGGAUGUUGAGUCUGCCGAGUAGGAGUUGACUGGUGAUUGAUUGUCCAAUGUUAAUCUGUUCUAGGAUUUUGGAGGUUAAUGAGUCAAUGUGAUUAAUAGAUUGAUUUGGACAAUUAAACGCAGAAAUUAAUGGAAGAAAUCAGCUAGAAAAAUAAUUCUGAUUUCUUAAAGCUUCGAAUCAGUAGGGUGCCUAUUAAAAUUGAAGUUCAUUUGCUGUGAGAAACAAGCCACUAAAUCUAGGAGCUGAAUCUGGGAAUUUUGACUUCAAUUCUUCAAUAAUAGUUUCUGGCAUGAUCUGUGUUUGUUCUCUAAUCAUACGUUGUCUUGAAUAUAUUGAUAUAAUCUACUAAGGUUAAUGAAUUUCUGUGGAUUGAUGAUCAAUGAUCAUGAACUUGAAGUUGAUUGAACUUGAUUUGCCUUGAUAUGUCACUUUCUGUUUUGGCUUAAAUGAGGUGAUAGAUGAGGCUUUCUGGUCUUGAGCCCUUUUAGACAUAGAAAAUAGACUUCUCAAGCUUUGAUUUGAUAUGUUGCAUGCCCUGAACGGACGUCAUUCGGUCAUUGAAAAACACCUACAAAGUCUGUUGAUUCUGCUCUGAUAUUCUGUUUCUUUUGCUGAUCUGACCUUCUGUGCAAAUGACUUAAUAUGAGCUGGUUGUUGUGGUUUUCUGUGUUCGAAGUCUUCAUGAAAGUCGAAGAUGGUUCGAAAAUCUUUCCAAUGAGCUAUAAAAUGCCCUGAUUGAAUCUCAUUUGAUAUGAUUUUCACAUGUCCAAAGUUCAGUCCAGAAUCUGUCCUGUUUGAGACCUGAUGCAUGUGUUCAAAUUUGAGUUAGUAAACAUGCUUUGCUGGAGUUGAAUCUUUCAUGAGAGUCAUUAUCAUAUUUGAACCCCGUUUGAUGUGAAUAUCAUGCACCCAUUUGGCUAAUUGCAAUUGAUAUUUGCUGUUCAUGCGUGAAUUUGCUGAUAUUGAAAUUUGGAAAUAGUCUUGAUUUAGAAUACGUGCUUUGUUUUUAUAGCUUCAAAUACUUGUGAAUUUGGUAUGAAUUUUUUGUGUGAGGAGUUUGGGAUUAGGUCCUUCAUGAAAGUUGUCCUUCACAUAAAAACUGCAUAAAAAAAUGGUUGUAUGUUUGCCUUGCUGCUCUGUUCUACUUUUAAUUGACCUUGAUCUCUUCCAGGAUUUUAUAAAUUCGCGUGCUUUUUGUUACAAUAUAUAAUGAAGUGCUGUCUUUGAUUUUUGAAGUUGAUUCGAUUAUAAAAAUGCUAUCUUUUCUGUGGCUAGUUGCCUUUAGUCUUAAAAUGAGAUAGUAGAUUUGUCCAAUUAUUUUCAAUAUGUUGUAGAAUGACGGUGUGACAUGUUACUAUGCUUUAUUCUGGAUUGACUUGUUUUUUUUUAGAAUUUUUAGAAAUUCAUGUGUUGAUAUGAUGAUAGUGUCUCUAUGAGAUUUAUUUGGGAUAUCACCUAGAAUUUGAUCCAGAGACCUUGUGACUUUAGUCACUCUUUUUUGAAAUAUAAAAAAUGUCUUGCUUUUGAUUGUUUUGAUGCGUUUGCUCGUCUAUUUCCAUUGUAUGCAUUUAGCUAGAAGUUUCCUAAGCUAGGUUUAGAUUAGGACCCCGAAGAUGAAGAAGGUGUAAGGCGUGAAGAUGGUGGAGGUCGAUGUCCAUUCCGACCAUUGUCAUGUACUAUUUGUUUUCCCGACAUAUGUGUCGGUUCCUAGCAUUGUAUAAAACCCGACGAGUUGCGGGUUUUCUUUCUUUCCUUUUUAAUUGUUUUUUUUCUUUUAUAUUCUUUAGAAUUGCUUGAUUAGGUUUACUGUUUUUCCUUGAUUGCUUACUUCAUGUUUUGUAAUUUCAAUUUCAUUGGUUGUUUUCCUUUUUAUUUUUUAGAAAUAGAAAAGCAUGAAAAUGAUCAACCACGCAUGAUCACUUAGUCUAGGAAUUGAUGAUCCCGAAAAUGUAAAAAGAUACGCAUGAACACGUUAAAUAAAAAAAAAAAACACAACAUACCCUUUAGGUACCGAAAGGGCGCUAAUAGCAAAAUUAGCGUAACCCAAGUCCCCGAACCUAGAUAUCUGGUUGCGUAGGAAUCGAGGGAAUACUCCCAACCCUCGAUUGGGUUUCUAGCCAACCCCAAAAAAUGAGGCUAGUGGCGACUCCUGUAUAUUUUUAGGUUGUUAUAAACAACUAGAUCGCAUGAUAAACCUACUGUCACGCGGGGUACGGGCUUGGGAGAGCUCGCGAUCUUGAGAUCAAGUAUCCCUAAACCCGACCUUUCCCAUCCUUGGAUACCAUUUCGAGGGGCGGCGAGAUCGGGUCGCGACACCAAGUACGUAGGAUGGAAUGUGAUUUAAGGUUAGUAUACUCAAGCAGUUGCCUGUAAAAUGGUAGAUAAGGCGGUGUCAACGCCAAUCGCAUCUAGGCCACCUGUUAAAUCUGAUGCUGAUAAUUACUGUUGUGCAGUUCUCCUGGCAAAUCUAAAACAUAGCACAUUUGCUUCACCGAGCGAAAAGCACGAGGCGAGAGGAGGCGCAUAUUUCUGGAUCGUCAAUAUGUUUCUUGGAAUUGCAACUUCGCUGAACACGCUAUUAUCUUUCAUUGCAUUUUCAGUUUUAGUACAUAUGGACCAGUAACUCUCUCUCUCUCUCUCUCUCUCUCUCUCUCUCUCUCUCUCUCUCUCUCUCUCUCUCUCUCUCAAUGUUCCUUAGAGGUAGGGUGUCUCGAGUUUGGGACAUAAUUGAUGUAGCCCAAGGCCGGUUAUUCAAACAAUAUGAUUGUGAGAGUAACUUACACAUACGGAAACUUAGUCACAAAAUUGAGCAAAAAAUUUAAUUAUACGCUAAUCUAGAAAAAUG
rnacentral:lncRNA from 1 species